UACGUAGGGUGCGAGCGUUAAUCGGAAUUACUGGGCGUAAAGCGUGCGCAGGCGGUUAUAUAAGACAGUUGUGAAAUCCCCGGGCUCAACCCUGGGAAUUGCAUCUGUGACUGUAUAGCUAGAGUACGGUAGAGGGGGAUGGAAUUCCGCGUGUAGCAGUGAAAUGCGUAGAUAUGCGGAGGAACACCGAUGGCGAAGGCAAUCCCCUGGACCUGUACUGACGCUCAUGCACGAAAGCGUGGGGAGCAAACAGG
rnacentral:rRNA from 1 species